GGUUUGGCACCUCGAUGUCGGCUCGUCGCAUCCUGGGGCUGGAGAAGGUCCCAAGGGUUGGGCUGUUCGCCCAUUAAAGCGGCACGCGAGCUGGGUUUAGAACGUCGUGAGACAGUUCGGUCCCUAUCCUCUAUGGGCGCAGGAAAUUUGAUGGAAGCUGUUCUUAGUACGAGAGGACCGGAACGGACGAACCUCUAGUGUACCUGUUGUCACAUCAGUGGCAUCGCAGGGUAGCUACGUUCGGCAGGGAUAAGCGCUGAAAGCAUAUAAGCGCGAAGCCCCUCCAAAGAUAAGAUUUCCCUUCCCGAUUUAUCGGGACUGAAGGCUACCAGUAGACUACUGGAUUGAUAGGCCAUAGAUGUAAGUACAGUAAUGUAUUUAGUCGAGUGGUACUAAUUAGCCGUGAGGCUUGAUCAA
rnacentral:rRNA from 1 species